GACGAACGCUGGCGGCGUGCUUUACACAUGCAAGUCGAGCGAUGAGAUCCCUUCGGGGAAGGAUUAGCGGCGAACGGGUGAGGAACACGUGAGGAAUCUGCCUUCAACACCGGGAUAACUCCGGGAAACCGGGGCUAAUACCGGAUACGAGACCUGCAGGCAUCUGCGGGUCUGGAAAGUUUUUCGGUUGAAGAUGACCUCGCGGCCUAUCAGCUUGUUGGUGAGGUAAUGGCUCACCAAGGCGACGACGGGUAGCCGGCCUGAGAGGGCGACCGGCCACACUGGGACUGAGACACGGCCCAGACUCCUACGGGAGGCAGCAGUGGGGAAUAUUGGGCAAUGGAGGGAACUCUGACCCAGCGACGCCGCGUGCGGGAUGAAGGCCUUCGGGUUGUAAACCGCUUUCAGCAAGGAAGAAGCGAAAGUGACGGUACUUGCAGAAGAGGCACCGGCUAACUAUGUG
rnacentral:rRNA from 1 species